ACUCUCUUAGUAUAACAUAGUACAGCUGACUU
rnacentral:tRNA from 1 species